rnacentral:snRNA from 1 species
GGAUGUGAGGGCAAUCUGGCUGCAAUACCCCAUUGAACCCCAGGGUUAUUUGGUUGAUCUGGCUGGCUAGGUGGGUGUCCCCUUCCUCCCUCACUGCUCCAUGUGUCCUGAGGGUGUGUUUGGUCGAAGGGGAUGAUCUUUCUCAAACAGAGGAGGACCGGUCUUCGGUCCAGGGUGUACACAUGAAUAGCUGACUCCCCUGCUAGUACCUCCAAACGAGCUCUCGAGGCAAAUGAAUGCAGUGGGGGCUAAGGAGAGUCAUGGCAUCCAGCUGCUGGCCAGAGGCCUGCCAGAGCUUGUU